AUUGAACGCUGGCGGCAGGCUUAACACAUGCAAGUCGAGCGGGGGAAGGUAGCUUGCUACCGGACCUAGCGGCGGACGGGUGAGUAAUGCCUAGGAAUCUGCCUAUUAGUGGGGGACAACAUCUCGAAAGGGAUGCUAAUACCGCAUACGUCCUACGGGAGAAAGCAGGGGAUCCUCGGACCUUGCGCUAAUAGAUGAGCCUAAGUCGGAUUAGCUAGUUGGUGGGGUAAAGGCCUACCAAGGCGACGAUCUGUAGCGGGUCUGAGAGGAUGAUCCGCCACACUGGGACUGAGACACGGCCCAGACUCCUACGGGAGGCAGCAGUGGGGAAUAUUGGACAAUGGGGGGAACCCUGAUCCAGCCAUGCCGCGUGUGUGAAGAAGGCCUUAUGGUUGUAAAGCACUUUAAGCGAGGAGGAGGCUACUCUAGUUAAUACCUAGGGAUAGUGGACGUUACUCGCAGAAUAAGCACCGGCUAACUCUGUGCCAGCCGCCGCUGUAA
rnacentral:rRNA from 1 species